UACCUGGUUGAUCCUGCCAGUAGUCAUAUGCUUGUCUCAAAGAUUAAGCCAUGCAUGUCUAAGUAUAAACAACUUUGUACUGUGAAACUGCAAAUGGCUCAUUAAAUCAGUUAUAGUUUAUUUGAUGAUAUCUUGCUACAUGGAUAACUGUGGUAAUUCUAGAGGUAAUACAUGCAAUCAAGCCCCAACUUCCAGAAGGAGUGUAUUUAUUAGAUAAAAAACCAAUGCAGUUCACUCCUCCCUUGGUGAUUCAUAAUAACUUCUUGAAUCGCAUGGCCUUGUGCUGGUGAUGCUUCAUUCAAAUAUCUGCCCUAUCAACUUUCAAUUGUAGGAUAGAGGCCUAUCAUGGUUUCAAUGGGUAAUGGAGAAUAAGGGUUUGAUUUCGGAGAGGGAGCCUGAGAAACAGCUACUAUGGUUUUAAUGGGUAACGGGGAAUAAGGGUUUGAUUCUGGAGAGGGAGCCUGAGAAACAGCUACCACAUCCAAGGAAGGCAGCAGGUGUGCAAAUUACCCAAUCCCGACAUGGGGAGGUAGUGACAAUAAAUAACAAUAUAAGGCUCUUUCGGGUCUUAUAAUUGGAAUGAGUACAAUUUAAACCCCUUAAUGAGGAACAAUUGGAGGGCAAGUCUGGUGCCAGCACCCACAGUAAUUCCAGCUCCAAUAGCAUAUAUUAAAGUUGUUGCAGUUAAAGAGCUCGUAGUUGAACUUCAGACCUGGCUGGGCAGUCCACUUAAUGGCAAGUACUGUUCAGCUGGGCCUUACUUCUUGGUGAGCCAGCAUGCCCUCUAUUGGUGUUUGUCAGGGAACCAGGACUUUUACCUUGAGAAAAUUAGAGUGUUCAAAGCAGACCUAUGCCUGAAUAUAUUAGCAUGGAAUAAUAAAAUAGGACGUGCAGUUCUAUUUUGUUGGUUUCUAGAGUCGCUGUAAUGAUUAAUAGGGAUAGUUGGGGGCAUUGGUAUUGAGUCACUAGAGGUGAAAUUCUUGGAUUGACUCAAGACUGACUACUGCGAAAGCAUUUGCCAAGGAUAUUUUCAUUAAUCAAGAAUGAAGGUUAGGGGAUCGAAAACAAUCAGAUACCCUGAGGGUGAGGCAUAUCACCUCUGCUGUUGACCUUGUCGUGGUCCCUCAGCUUUGCACCAAGAACAGCA
rnacentral:ncRNA from 1 species